CGAGGAGCGCCGCCGGCACAGGAGCCCAGAAUCCCGCCGCGGGGCGGGUCUGGGUGGCGCAGGGUCUCCUGGGAAAUGUAGUCCCCGCCCCUGGGCUUUUUUGGGGCCGCUGAGUGCGGGAAUGUAGGUUGCUGCUUUCCUCCUUCGGCUUGGGGGCCUCCGUACUCCGCCGCCCGUCCAGCGCGUACUCCCCUCUUCUUUCUCCGGCAGCCGGGUGGUCCCGACGCGAGAGGCAGUUUUUACUCAGAGAGAAAUUUUGGAGCGCUUGUCUGGCUCAGUCUAUACAGCAUGCAACUCUGGGUGUCGAGGUGGAGUUCAAGCCCCACGUGGGGCAUAGAGCUUACGGGAAGGAGGUGAGGGGCCCGCAUAUGUGGGGCUGCGAUGGGGUGGAAGCCGGUGGCCCUGGCGGUGAAAGGAAUUUCCCCAGGAGGAACAAAGGAGAUAGACGUUCAGUGAACCCACCGCAGGGGUUGCGGGGGUGGUGGCUGGACAGCAGAGGAGAGACCAAAGCAAGGCAGUGGGUGGGGCUGUUUUUUUUUUUUUUUUUUUUUUAAGGGGGAAGGUGAGAAAGUAGGGAGAGGUAUGGCAUUUUGCUUUUUUUGGUUACUACCCGGUAGUAAGUAGCCCAUUGGUCGGCUGUUUUAAAGUGGGUCGCCGGAUGGGCACGUCGCUGUGGGCCCUUUGCACAUCCCAUGGCUCCAGCCUCUUUGCCUAAAAGUGGCCUCUAUGCUAUCUUUGCAGUACUGUCUUCUGUACCAUAGAAAAAUUUUGGAAGUCUCAUGAAUAAUUUGGGAAACAUAGAUUUUUUUUUCCCUCCUAUUUUGUAAAGUAGUUUUUCCAUUGUAAGUUUCGGACCUAAACUCUCUAGGGGUAGAUAUUUGAUUUCUGAUUCUUUUAAUUUUUUUUAAUGAUUGUUGAUGGAUUUAAUUUUAUAGUUCUUACUGAGUCAAUUUGGAUACUUAAGGUUUUCUAGAAAAUUGUUCUCUGGAUUUUCAAUUUGGUAGGCAUAAAGUUGUUCAUACUAAUCUUUUAUAGUAGUUUUUUGAAGAUUUUAAAAAUCAUGGCUUUUUAGUGAUAUUUUAAAAUCUUUGCUCUAUUUGUAACCAUUUUUUUCUUUAUUGAGCUUAAGUCCAAGAAAAGGUCAUUGAUCUGUUUGCUGAUGGUGUGGGACCCUCCAGCAGUGUUAUUGGUACCAUGUUCCUUCCCUGUGAUGAGCUGCUCCAGGUGGAGAAGAUGCCAGUGUGAACUUCCAUCAAUGACUGUGGAUUCCAGGUCCACAAACACUGCCCUGGGCUCACAUGUGCCAGCACCUGUCUCACUGCAAAAGUGUUGAAGGAGUCAUCUCCUCCCCCAGUGGUCUUGUCAGUUGGCAUCUGAUCAUUGGGCUGGAUUCUGUGUUCCAGGCAGUAGAGCUCCCAGCCGGCAUUGCCAUUCUGAACACCAGCCUGGAUGGAAAUGAACUUGAACACAGUUGCUGCUUUGUGGCUGCUGAGCAGAUGGCAAAGAGGAAGAGGAAGGGUUGUUGGGCCACUCUUAGGGGGUGGAUGGAAGAACUUGCCUUUCCUCAGCAUUUUAGGAAAGUGGGCAAAGCUGGGCAGAGAGGAAGCGGUGUUACCAUUGAGAAGUCCUGCUCUACACCUGUGACUGUGCUUGUGUAUGUAAUCUAUUUGUCAUCUGUUGCAACUUUUAGAUUCAUCAGUUUAUUUUAGGUAUUCAAAACUUUCAUGUUGAUAUGUUUAGUUCCAGUCUUUCAAGAAAUUGCCCAUUUUGGGGCGCCUGGGUGGCUCAGUCAGUUAAGCAUCUGCCUUCGUCUCAGUUCAUGAUCUCAGGAUUCUGGGAUGGAGCCCCACAUUGGGCUGCCUGCUUCUCCCUCUCACAAUGACCCUUUCCACCCCGCACUUUCUCUCUCUCUUAUGCUCUCCCAAGUAAAUAAAUUAAAUCUUUAAAAAAAAUUGCUGAUUUUGAUGAGUCAGUCCUUACAUAUUUCACUACUUUAAAGAACUUUUUCUGUAUUUGUUUGAUUCUUUCUUCUGUUUUUUUCUUCUUUCUGGAACUCUGAAUUAUCUGAGUUCAAUUAUUAUUGAACCUUUGAAAUUCAUCAUAAAAUUUUCUUACCUUUCUCUCUUGUUGCUUUUCUCUUUUGGGAGUUCUGCUUCCUGGAAGAGUUUCUAAGCUUUAUCUUUAAAUCUUUUUACCGUUUUUAAAUUUUUUUUGUUACCAUACUUUUAAAUUUCCUAAGACCACUUAUUUUGCAAUUUUGUAUGUAAAAAAAGCAAAGCAGCCAUAAAUCCUAUUAUUGUUUUAUGAAUGAAAUAUCUCUCUUGAUGAUUUUUCUUUUUAAGAUUUUAUUUAUUUGAC